rnacentral:sRNA from 1 species
GCUGCUGAGGCGUGAGAAUGGCGUAUCGCGGCCGGCGUCCGGAGCAUGGCGGACCCCCAGAGCUGUUUUAUGACGAGACAGAAGCCCGGAAAUACGUUCGCAACUCACGGAUGAUUGAUAUCCAGACCAGGAUGGCUGGGCGAGCAUUGGAGCUUCUUUAUCUGCCAGAGAAUAAGCCCUGUUACCUGCUGGAUAUUGGCUGUGGCACUGGGCUGAGUGGAGGUUAUCUGUCAGAUGAAGGGCACUAUUGGGUGGGCCUGGAUAUCAGCCCUGCCAUGCUGGAUGAGGCCGUGGACCGAGAGAUAGAGGGAGACCUGCUGCUGGGGGAUAUGGGCCAGGGCAUCCCAUUCAAGCCAGGCACAUUUGAUGGUUGCAUCAGCAUUUCUGCUGUGCAGUGGCUCUGUAAUGCUAACAAGAAGUCUGAAAACCCUGCCAAGCGCCUGUACUGCUUUUUUGCUUCUCUUUUUUCUGUUCUCGUCCGGGGAUCCCGAGCUGUCCUGCAGCUGUACCCUGAGAACUCAGAGCAGGUGAGUCCCUCGGCUACUGGGUGUGCAGGGGAGUGGGGGGACUCAACAGGUAAGCUGUCCUGGGGAAGCGACAAAGAACCUUAUGCAGAUUGGCGGGAAAAGGAGGAACCAUGCACCCUAGUGUGGCCCCUGAUGGCACAUUUGACGACCUGAUAUCCUAAGGGGGUGGCAUCUGCGGAGGUGGGGUGGGAUGCCUUCUCUUGGCAGAUGACAUGGUAUUACAGAUAAGGUGAUGCGACUGAUUUCCAUAACCAAAUAAGUAAAUGCCAUUUAGGAAGGGUGAGAGGGCACCGGACAGUUCUCCGUUGUGUGAUGUAUAAUUAAGGAAUGGCGGAGUAGGAUGUAGAUGUUGAAAGAUAAGUGAAGAGCUGUCCCUGACUAAUAACAUGAAUGAGUCUGGAUUCCAAUUGGUGGCCAUCUCCUUCCUAAACUUGAGUGGGGAGCUGGGUCCCUGCACUGGAAAGUGAGAAUGAGGGGAGUUGCUUUGUUCUGUAAUUCUCCUGAGGGAGGUGUGGGCCAUGCCAGAUUCUAGCCUGUACUUUUCUCUAUGUGGCUUACAGCGACCUUAAGUUCUCCCAGGCAGGAUUCGUCCUGGAGCAGACUGGCUUCUGAAGGAGGGGAGGGAGGUGAAGCUGUCUGUUCCUCUCAACCUCCGCUGCCUGACCCACUGCCUUUCUUUCCUCAGUUGGAGCUGAUCACAACCCAGGCCACAAAGGCAGGCUUCUCCGGUGGCAUGGUGGUAGACUACCCUAACAGUGCCAAAGCAAAGAAAUUCUACCUCUGCUUGUUUUCUGGGCCUUCGACCUUUAUACCAGAGGGGCUGAGUGAAAAUCAGGAUGAAGAUGAACCCAGGGAGUCUGUGUUCACCAAUGAGAGGUUCCCAUCAAGGAUGUCGAGGCGGGGAAUGGUGAGGAAGAGUCGGGCAUGGGUGCUGGAGAAGAAGGAGAGGCACAGGCGCCAGGGCAGGGAAGUCAGACCUGACACCCAGUACACCGGCCGCAAGCGCAAGCCCCGCUUCUAAGUCACCAUGCGAUUCUGGAAAGGCACUUGCCUCUGCACUUUUCUAUAUUGUUCAGCUGACAAAAUAGUAUUUUAGAAAAGUUCUAAAAGUUCUAAAAAUGUUUUCUGCAGUUAAAAAAAAUUCUCUGGGCCGGGCGUGGUGGCUCAUGCCUGUAAUCCCAGCACCUUGGGAGGCUGAGGUGGGAGGAUCAUUUGAGGCCAGGAGUUUGAGACCUGCCUGGGCAACAUAAUGAAACUUCCUUUCUAGGGAGGAAAAAAAAGAAAAA